rnacentral:pre_miRNA from 1 species
AAGAAAGCUGACAGAAGAGAGUGAGCAUAUGCAAAGCAAUUGUAUAGAGAACUAUACACUUGUUGGACUUAUGCGUGUGCUCACUUCUCUUGCUGUCAGCUA